GAUGAACGCUGGCGGCGUGCCUAAUACAUGCCAGUCGAGCGAACAGACGAGGAGCUUGCUCCUCUGAUGUUAGCGGCGGACGGGUGAGUAACACGUGGAUAACCUACCUAUAAGACUGGGAUAACUUCGGGAAACCGGAGCUAAUACCGGAUAACAUGUUGAACCGCAUGGUUCAACAGUGAAAGACGGUCUUGCUGUCACUUAUAGAUGGAUCCGCGCCGCAUUAGCUAGUUGGUAAGGUAACGGCUUACCAAGGCAACGAUGCGUAGCCGACCUGAGAGGGUGAUCAGCCACACUGGAACUGAGACACGGUCCAGACUCCUACGGGAGGCAGCAGUAGGGAAUCUUCCGCAAUGGGCGAAAGCCUGACGGAGCAACGCCGCGUGAGUGAAGAAGGUCUUCGGAUCGUAAAACUCUGUUAUUAGGGAAGAACAAAUGUGUAAGUAACUAUGCACGUCUUGACGGUACCUAAUCAGAAAGCCACGGCUAACUACGUG
rnacentral:rRNA from 1 species